AAAUUUCAAAUCUUCUCGACACAUGUAAUCUUUUGCGAGUUAGAAGAUUUGAUUCCUUAUUUUUUGUUCGUAUUCUUAAAGUUAGUCACGUUUAUAUUAUUUUUCGCUUUGUAACCGUCCCUUUAAAUUUUUAAU
rnacentral:sRNA from 1 species